rnacentral:rRNA from 1 species
CCUACGGGAGGCAGCAGUAGGGAAUAUUGGGCAAUGGAGGCAACUCUGACCCAGCCAUGCCGCGUGCAGGAUGAAGGCGUUAUGCGUUGUAAACUGCUUUUAUAUAGGAAGAAAUAGACCUUGCGAGGUAAGUUGACGGUACUAUAUGAAUAAGCACCGGCUAACUCCGUGCCAGCAGCCGCGGUAAUACGGAGGGUGCAAGCGUUGUCCGGAUUUAUUGGGUUUAAAGGGUGCGUAGGCGGUUUAUUAAGUCAGUGGUGAAAGACGGUCGCUCAACGAUUGCAGUGCCAUUGAUACUGGUAGACUUGAGUGGGAUUGAGGUAGCUGGAAUGGAUAGUGUAGCGGUGAAAUGCAUAGAUAUUAUCCAGAACACCAAUUGCGUAGGCAAGUUACUAAGUCUCAACUGACGCUGAGGCACGAAAGUGUGGGUAUCAAACAGGAUUAGAUACCCUGGUAGUCCACACUGUAAACGAUGAUAACUAACUGUUGGCUUUCGGGUCAGUGGUACAGAGAAAUCGUUAAGUUAUCCACCUGGGGAGUACGCCGGCAACGGUGAAACUUAAGGAAUUGACGG